rnacentral:rRNA from 1 species
GACAGAGGGUGCAAACGUUGUUCGGAAUUACUGGGCGUAAAGCGAGUGUAGGCGGUCUGAAAAGUCGGGUGUGAAAGCCCUGGGCUCAACCCAGGAAGUGCACUCGAAACUGCCAGGCUAGAGUAUCGGAGAGGUUGGUGGAAUUCUCGGUGUAGAGGUGAAAUUCGUAGAUAUCGAGAGGAACACCGGUGGCGAAGGCGGCGAUCUGGACGAUGACUGACGCUGAGACGCGAAAGCGUGGGGAGCAAACAGG